AUUGAACGCUGGCGGCAGGCUUAACACAUGCAAGUCGAACGAGGGGCGGACGGGUGAGAAAUAUGUGGGAAUCUACCUUAGAGAGGGGGAUCACUUGGGGAAACUGUCUCAAAUACCGCGAUCCCGAGGAUGCCCACAAGUGGGAUUAGGUAGUUUGUGGGGUAAAGGCUCACCAAGGCGACGAUCUCUAGCUGGUCUGAGAGGAUGAACAGCCACACUGGGACUGAGACACGGCACAGACUCCUACGGGAGGCAGCAGUGGGGAAUAUUGCGCAAUGGGCGCAAGCCUGAUGCAGCCAUGCCGCGUGUAUGAAGAAGGCCUUAGGGUUGUAAAGUACUUUCGGUAGGGAGGCGUUAACUACAGAAGAAGCACCGGCUAACUCCGUGCCAGCAGCCGCGGUAAUUC
rnacentral:rRNA from 1 species